GGUUGCGAUCAUACCAGCACUAAUGCACCGGAUCCCAUCAGAACUCCGCAGUUAAGCGUGCUUGGGCGAGAGUAGUACUACGAUGGGUGACCCCCUGGGAAGUCCUCGUGUUGCAACCC
rnacentral:rRNA from 1 species